UAGGACUUGUUGAAACGGCCUUAACAAAUUCCAUUUCCAGUGCUGAAUAUUUUCCUAACUGCUACACAGUUGAGAGAUCUGAUCGUCAAUACGAGCCCUAUCGGGAUCGAUGCCCAUGUGGCUAACAGGAAUGGAAACAAAAUGACAAGGAUGACACUCUUCACUCCAUGCGGUCUUUCAUGGAGACUUUUAAUCAGACAAACACAACCGACAGACAACAGACCACGGAACGGUUUAGGAUGACGAACAGAAGUAUGUUAUGACAGAGCUUCCAUCAAAAAUUGCACCAAGGCAUCGUAGAUUUUUUUGUUAUUUGAAGCUAAUAGGGUGAACAUAUUGGUUGGUAAUUCCAUAUUAUGACAGCGUAUUUCUUUAAGUAAUUUGUCAGUGAAAUUAGCGUUAUUCACACAACCAAGGAAAAUAUGAUUAAGGUCGCCUUGUUCUCCACAUACGCAACUGGGAGUAUCUGUCAAUCCCAUUUUAUGUAAAUGAAAUGAAUAUUGCCCGUGACCAAAUUUUAGUCGAGCUAUUGUGGUCGCAUACCACCUACUCACAGUAACGUUCCUCGACCAGUGAGUUCGAAUCAACUGAGGGAGGAUUGUCGCAUAUUGCGUGCUUUUCUCCGAGUUGGAGUCUUCCCAAAGAUUUUGCCAUUUUGUAAACAAAAUUUGGUGCUUAAAAUAGGUUACGGCAUCACUCGGUGUUAUUAUUUUAUUAUAUGGUGUUCCCUCUUGUAUAGCCCUUUUUGCUAACAAGAGGGAACAUGUUGAUCGCAUUGAUAUGUCAGAAUUUUAUGCAAUUGUUCCAUCAAUUGAUAUGUUGGGGUGUAAAUGUUGUUUUGAUUCGCAUACAGUGUAUGUUUUUGUUAUAUAUAUUCCGCCCAAUACAACACUGAAUAACA